UACGUAGGGCGCAAGCGUUAUCCGGAAUUAUUGGGCGUAAAGAGCUCGUAGGCGGUUUGUCGCGUCUGCCGUGAAAGUCCGGGGCUCAACUCCGGAUCUGCGGUGGGUACGGGCAGACUAGAGUGAUGUAGGGGAGACUGGAAUUCCUGGUGUAGCGGUGAAAUGCGCAGAUAUCAGGAGGAACACCGGUGGCGAAGGCGGGUCUCUGGGCCUUACCUGACGCUGGAGGAGCGAAAGCGUGGGGAGCGAACAGG
rnacentral:rRNA from 1 species